AACGAACGCUGGCGGCAGGCCUAACACAUGCAAGUCGAACGCCCUAGCAAUAGGGAGUGGCAGACGGGCGAGUAACGCGUGGGAACGUGCCUUUCGGUUCGGAAUAACUCAGGGAAACUUGAGCUAAUAGCGGAUACGCCCUUAGGGGGAAAAAUUUAUUGCCGAAGGAUCGGCCCGCGUCCGAUCAGCUAGUUGGUGAGGUAAAGGCUCACCAAGGCGACGAUCGGCAGCUGGUCUGAGAGGAGGAUCAGCCACACUUGGCCUGGGACACGGCCCAGACUCCGACAGGAGGCAGCAGUGGGGAAUAUUGGACCAUGGGCGCAAGCCUGAUCCAGCCAUGCCGCGUGAGUGAUGAAGGCCCUAGGGUUGUAAAGCUCUUUCGCCAGGGACGAUAAUGACGGUACCUGGAUAAGAAGCCCCGGCUAACUUCGUGCCAGCCGCCGCAGUAA
rnacentral:rRNA from 1 species